rnacentral:rRNA from 2 species
GUGCGAGACCGAUAGCGAACAAGUACCGUGAGGGGAAGAUGAAAAGAACUUUGAAAAGAGAGUUAAAGAGUACCUGAAACUGCUGAAAGGGAAGCGAAUCGUAUCCAGUGUCUAUAAUCUGCGGCAUAUUUCAUUGGCGGCAGUGUGCGUGCUUUUGCGUCGGAAGCGGCUUUUGUUGCCCUGUGCUUUUGCUGUGCGUGCUGUUGCUGGUGCCCUGUGUUGCGGUGGGACGUCAGAGUCAGUUCGUAUGCUGCGGGAAAUGGCCGCCGAGGAGGUAGGUCAGGACUUCGGUCUUGGCUGUUAUAUCUUGGUGGUUUGUUGCCGUGGUUGGGACUGAGGUGCCUACAAUGUGCUUUUGAGUGUGCCGGGUUCUCAUUUGGUGGACUGUUUGGAUAGCUUGCUAUGCUUGUGGUUUUUUCAUCGAGUGAUUGAGUCUGGUGGUAACUUGUUGCUGUUCGGGACUUUGAA